rnacentral:rRNA from 1 species
ACUCCUACGGGAGGCAGCAGUGGGGAAUAUUGCACAAUGGGCGCAAGCCUGAUGCAGCCAUGCCGCGUGUAUGAAGAAGGCCUUCGGGUUGUAAAGUACUUUCAGCAGUGAGGAAGGUGGGUAUGUUAAUAGCAUACUCAUUUGUACGUUAGCUGCAGAAGAAGCACCGGCUAACUCCGUGCCAGCAGCCGCGGUAAUACGGAGGGUGCGAGCGUUAAUCGGAAUUACUGGGCGUAAAGCGCAUGCAGGUGGUUUGUUAAGUCAGAUGUGAAAGCCCGGGGCUCAACCUCGGAAUUGCAUUUGAAACUGGCAAACUAGAGUACUGGUAGAGGGGGUAGAAUUUCAGGUGUAGCGGUGAAAUGCGUAGAGAUCUGAA